rnacentral:rRNA from 1 species
CACGUAGGGUGCAAGCGUUGUCCGGAAUUAUUGGGCGUAAAGGGCUCGUAGGCGGUCCGUCACGUCGGGAGUGAAAACUCGGGGCUCAACCCCGAGCCUGCUUCCGAUACGGGCGGACUAGAGGUAGGUAGGGGAGAACGGAAUUCCUGGUGUAGCGGUGGAAUGCGCAGAUAUCAGGAGGAACACCGGUGGCGAAGGCGGUUCUCUGGGCCGAUACUGACGCUGAGGAGCGAAAGCGUGGGGAGCGAACAGG